GCCUGGUUAGCUCAGUCGGUAGAGCGUGUGGCUUUUAGUGACCCUCCCUGUAGGGUCAAAGAAAACCUCAAAGUCACGGGUUCGAGCCCCGUAUCAGGCU